rnacentral:rRNA from 1 species
CAAUAGCGUAUAUUAAAGUUGUUGCAGUUAAAAAGCUCGUAGUUGGAUUUGUGGCGUACGGUGUGUUCCGGGCACUUGUUGUCUGAGUAACCUGCUGUUGCCAUCCUUAGGUGGAACCUGUGUGGCAUUAGGUUGUCGUGCAGGGGAUGCCCAUCAUUUACUGUGAAAAAAUUAGAGUGUUCAAAGCAGGCUUAUGCCGUUGAAUAUAUUAGCAUGGAAUAAUGAGAUAGGACUUUUUUGCUAUUUUGUUGGUUUGCGCAAAGAGGUAAUGAUUAAUAGGGACAGUUGGGGGUAUUCGUAUUCCAUUGUCAGAGGUGAAAUUCUUGGAUUUUUGGAAGACGAACUACUGCGAAAGCAUUUACCAAGGAUGUUUUCAUUAA